rnacentral:lncRNA from 1 species
GAGUCUUGUUGGAGUUGUGUGAGGUUGAAUAAUUAUAAUUGUGAUAUUUGAUUCAAAAAGUUGGUAGAAAAAAAAGAAAAAAAUUGUAAAAAAAUAGAAAAAGAAAAGAAGGAUCUUAUUACAUAUUCCUUUUGAAAUAAAAAAGAAUAAAAAGAUAAAAGAGAAGAAAAAAAAUAGCAGAAAAUUUGUUGUUUGAAAGUGGAUGAAUGUAGUUCAACCCCCGCAAGUUCUUUCAUGUCUAUAUUCUCCCUUAGGAUUUAUCUCACC